rnacentral:rRNA from 1 species
UACGUAGGGUGCAAGCGUUAUCCGGAAUUAUUGGGCGUAAAGAGCUCGUAGGCGGUUUGUCGCGUCUGCUGUGAAAACUGGGGGCUCAACCCCCAGCCUGCAGUGGGUACGGGCAGACUAGAGUGCGGUAGGGGAGACUGGAAUUCCUGGUGUAGCGGUGAAAUGCGCAGAUAUCAGGAGGAACACCGAUGGCGAAGGCAGGUCUCUGGGCCAUAACUGACGCUGAGAAGCGAAAGCAUGGGGAGCGAACAGG